GCUCUAUGGGGUCCUUAUGGGGUCCUUAUGGGGCCCUAUGGGGCUCUAUGGGGUCCUUAUGAGGAUCUAUGGGGUCCUAUGGGGUUCUAUGGGGGCUUAAGGUGGUCUUUAUGGGGUCCUAUGGGGUCCUAUGGGGUUAUAUGGGGUCCAAUGGGGUCCUAUGGGGCUCUAUGAGGUCUUAUGGGGCUCUAUGGGGUCCUUAUGGGGUCCCUAUGGGGUCUUUAUGGGGUCCCCAUGCGGUUUUAUGGGGUCUUAUGGGGUCCCUAUGGGGUCCUAUGGGGGCUUAAAGGGGUUCUAUGGGGUCCUAUGGGGCUCUAUGGGGUCCUUAUGGGGUUCUUAUGGGGUCCCUAUGGGGACUUUAUGGGGUUAUAUGGGGUCUUAUUGGGGCUUUAUGGGGUCCUAUGGGGGCUUAAAGGGGUUCUAUGGGGUCCUAUGGGGCUCUAUGGGGUCCUAUGGGGUCUUAUGGGGUCUUUAUGGGGUCCUAUGUGGUCCUUAUGAGGCUCUAUGGGGAUCUAUGGGGUCCUAUGGGGCUCUAUGGGGUCCUUAUGGG
ensembl:lncRNA